CCAUGUAUUAACCUCAACAUAAUAUUUGUUCUCUUUUUUUUGUUUCAGAAUUUCACCAGAUUGAAGAGAUAUUAUAGGUACAUGUGUUCGACCGUGGUCAUGGACUUUCAUCAGGAACAAACACAGGUGCUCCCAAGGGGGAUGCAAUUCAAAGAGAAGAGAGGAGGGGGACAGAGUAGGAGCUAAAAUACAGCGCAAAUUGAUGGCCACACGUCAAUGAGAUGGAGACAACCAGGGCGAAAGGAUAUAUCAUAUGCAGUUGAGUGGGAGCUCUCCGACGUGACAACGUUUGAAGAAGCACGCCAGUGUGUCACAAACAUUUUCUCAUCAAUGUGACCAUUUCAAUGGGAGAUUCUAGAGUCUACAUGAAGGAGAUUCCAACAUGGCUAUAUCUCAAAGUGAUUACAAAUUAUAUGAAACAACUCAUGCUGACUGAGGCUGUCCUAAUAUGGACACCAGAAAUAUAAUUUAAGGACUUCCCACAGUAAACAUGUAUAUAGAUACUUGUAGUGGUGUAAAGUUCUUAAAAAUAUUUUAAAGUACUACUUAAGUAUUUUUUGGGGGGUAUCUGUACUUUACUUUUACAUUUAUAUUUUUGACUACUUUUACUUUUACUUCACUACAUUCCUUAAGAAAAUAUUGUACUUUUUACUCCAUACA